rnacentral:rRNA from 1 species
GACGAACGCGGGCGGCGUGCUUAACACAUGCAAGUCGAACGGAAAGGCCCUGCUUUUGUGGGGUGCUCGAGUGGCGAACGGGUGAGUAACACGUGAGUAACCUGCCCUUGACUUUGGGAUAACUUCAGGAAACUGGGGCUAUACCCGGAUAGGAGCUCUUGCUCCAUGGUGGGGGUUGGAAAGUUUCGGCGGUUGGGGAUGGACUCGCGGCUUAUCAGCUUGUUGGUGGGGUAGUGGCUUACCAAGGCUUUGACGGGUAGCCGGCCUGAGAGGGUGACCGGCCACAUUGGGACUGAGAUACGGCCCAGACUCCUACGGGAGGCAGCAGUGGGGAAUAUUGCACAAUGGGCGGAAGCCUGAUGCAGCAACGCCGCGUGCGGGAUGACGGCCUUCGGGUUGUAAACCGCUUUCGCCUGUGACGAAGCGUGAGUGACGGUAAUGGGUAAAGAAGCACCGGCUAACUACGUG